CGGGGUGGGUUUAGCCCGCGCUCACUUUGAGAAGCAACCCCCGUCCAACCUGAGGAAAUCCAACUUCUUCCACUUCGUGUUGGCACUGUAUGAUCGCCAGGGGCAACCGGUGGAGAUCGAAAGGACGUCCUACCUCGACUUUGUGGAGAAGGACAAGGAGCCGGGUGGAGAGAAGACCAACAACGGCAUCCAUUACAAACUGCAGCUGCUCUUCAGCAACGGUGUGAGGACGGAGCAGGACCUGUACGUCCGGCUGAUCGACUCCAUGACCAAACAGGCCAUCAUAUACGAAGGUCAGGACAAGAACCCGGAGAUGUGUCGGGUUCUGCUGACUCAUGAGAUCAUGUGCAGUCGCUGCUGCGAUAAGAAGAGCUGCGGGAACAGAAACGAGACGCCGUCAGACCCCGUCAUCAUCGACAGGUACACACACACACACACACGCACUCACACACACUCACACACACUCACACUCACAC